UACAGAGGUCUCAAGCGUUGUUCGGAUUCAUUGGGCGUAAAGGGUGCGUAGGCGGCGCGGUAAGUCGGGUGUGAAAUCUCGGAGCUUAACCCCGAAACUGCAUUCGAUACUGCCGUGCUUGAGGACUGGAGAGGAGACUGGAAUUUACGGUGUAGCGGUGAAAUGCGUAGAUAUCGUAAGGAAGACCAGUGGCGAAGGCGGGUCUCUGGGCCGAUACUGACGCUGAGGAGCGAAAGCGUGGGGAGCGAACAGG
rnacentral:rRNA from 1 species